rnacentral:misc_RNA from 1 species
UUUAAUUCUAGAUCCAACUUACUGGAGUGGAGAUUGAUUGUUGUUAAUGUUGAGUUUCCGACAGAGAUGGCUGGCCGGUGGGAGGCGCUGGUUGCUGCUGCUUCGCGGGCUGCUGCCUGUUGGUCAUUGCCGGAGAAUGACGGGUUGCUUGUUCAUGCUGGCCGGAGCAGUUGCUCGUCGUGGAUGCUGGUGUUGCUAUUGCAUCCCUUCAUAAAAAAAAUAAAA